UCCAAUUUUUUGCCGUUCCAUAACUUCCACUGGGAAAAGGACCGAAGGAGACAAUCAUUAACUCCACCAAUCUCCUGACCAUCCUUAGCCUCAGUGGAUAUCCUCACUUCCUCUGCACCAAGGAGCAGGUUUCCUGAAGAAGACACCAUAUUGUCCUGCUUACACAAGUCCCAUUACUAGUCCCAUUACCUCUCCUCCAGGAUACUGAUAAGAAUCAUUCCCUCCACCAAUCUCCUGCCAACUUCGUUCUCUAAAGAUAUCCUCCCCUCUUAACCAGACUGGGUUUCCCAAAGAAGACUUCAGAUUGUCCAACUCACAAGUGGUAUUGGACUCUAUAGUACUGUUGUCCAUUCUCUGCGUCAGUUCUGAGAAAUCUCCUUAAGAACCUCCACACCACUUCUAUGACUGCCCUCCUGCCUGGACAUCUUCCAAAGUUGGUUUCACCAACCAAAA